rnacentral:rRNA from 1 species
UACGAAGGGGGCUAGCGUUGUUCGGAUUUACUGGGCGUAAAGCGCAUGUAGGCGGAUAUUUAAGUCAGAGGUGAAAUCCCAGGGCUCAACCCUGGAACUGCCUUUGAUACUGGAUGUCUUGAGUAUGGAAGAGGUGAGUGGAAUUCCGAGUGUAGAGGUAAAAUUCGUAGAUAUUCGGAGGAACACCAGUGGCGAAGGCGGCUCACUGGUCCAUUACUGACGCUGAGGUGCGAAAGCGUGGGGAGCAAACA